CAAAUUCAUCGUUCCCUACUAAAGACAAUACUUUUUCUUUAAACAAAAAUUGAUAAUGGAUUUUCUCUUCAGAAGGGGGUUUUCUGUUAGAUUAAGAGCUAAAAAAUUGCUGUGGAUACCUCGCUUUUCGUUUCUCAUGGUACACAGUUAAAGCGGUAUAUUCGAUCUUUCUAAUACAAUUUCGAAGCGAUUUUACGGUUGAUACAGCA